UACGUAGGGGGCAAGCGUUGUCCGGAUUUAUUGGGCGUAAAGAGCGUGUAGGCGGCCGUACAGGUCAGCUGUGAAAAACUCGAGGCUCAACCUCGAGACGUCGGUUGAAACCGUACGGCUAGAGUCCGGAAGAGGAGAGUGGAAUUCCCGGUGUAGCGGUGAAAUGCGCAGAUAUCGGGAAGAACACCCGUGGCGAAGGCGGCUCUCUGGGACGGUACUGACGCUGAGGUGCGAAAGCGUGGGGAGCAAACAGG
rnacentral:rRNA from 1 species